rnacentral:misc_RNA from 1 species
AAUCUACUCAACUGAAAACUCAAAUAGCAUUGUGUGUUCGUAGUUUUUUCUCCAGAAUGAACAACAAUAGAAGGAAAGUUUAGCUGGUUAAUGGCAUCUGGAAUGCCCCGAGUCUCAAAACAUGGACAGCCCCACCUUUUCCAGAGACAUUAUUCGCAUAAUUCGCAGAGUAGAAAUGCACGCCAGGUGCAUCUGUCCAUAAGUUCAACACUCAAUGGCUAGAGAGUCUUUCACUGUAGCUGCAUGUUUUAAGCCUGUUUUGUCUUCUCUACAAUCAAGGACAUUGUUAUGGUUAUACCCUAAACCCUGAACUUCACUGAUUGACCUUCCGACUUUCUUCUCUGAAGUGAAGUCA